GGGGGGUUCAUGUGUGUGUAUGACAGGAGUUGUGUGUAUGACAGGAGUUGUGUGUAUGGCAGGAGUUGUGUGUAUGACAGGAGUUGUGUGUAUGACAGGAGUUUUGGGUAUGGCAGGAGUUGUGUGUAUGACAGGAGUUGUGUGUAUGACAGGAGUUGUGUGUAUGGCAGGAGUUGUGUGCGAUCAACUGACUUGCUCUUGGCUCUGUAGUCGCGGAUCUUGUCCAGGAACAGUUUCUGGAUGGGGUCGAGGUCCUUGGUCUUGUUGAAGAGGA